UAUAACUGCUAAAAACGAAAACUCUUACGCUUUAGCUGCCUAAAAACAGUUAGCGUAGAUCCUCUCGGCAUCGCCCAUGUGCUCGAGUAAGGGUCCUAUUCUAAGUGGGAUACGUUUUAUCUUUCCGUCUGUAAGAUAAAAAAGAGCUCAUCAGACUAGCGAUACAGACUGCCUGUCACUCGGCAAGCUGUAAAGCGAACCUUCAAAUGAGUUGACUAUGAGCGUAGAUUUUUAGGUAGCAAUAUGUUUGGACGCGGGUUCGACUCCCGCCAUCUCCAUUU
rnacentral:tmRNA from 1 species